ensembl:lncRNA
CUCACCUCUCUGGGGACACUCCCCUCCUGAUGAAUCCAAUCUGUUCCAUUUCGUAUUUCUUUACUAACUCAGGAUAUGUUCAUGCUCUGAAUACACUGACCGUAUUACCAUGGUUACACUGACCGACCCAAACUCAGACUAGGUUCUACUGCGGUAUUACCAUGGUUACACUGACCGACCCCAAACCCAGACGAGGUUCUACUGAAGUAUUACCAUGGUUACACUGACCGACCCCAAACCCAGACGAGGUUCUACUGCGGUAUUACCAUGGUUACACUCCUCAAUACCAGUAACAGCCUUGUGUACAUCUUCAGGUGAUUUCUUUGUUGUUUCCAACUGUCUACAUAUUUAAAAUAAAUACCUGAACAGAAAUCAGUUAUUUGAUACAUCGAUUUGAAUGAUACAUCGACUCUGAAUGAUAAAUGUUUAAUUGUUGUAGUGAAGCGUUUAGUUUUGCUGAAAUCUUUUUCUUUCUACAUUUUGCUUCAGGUCUGUGAUUUUUAAAAAUAUUAUUUUGAUUGAUUUGUGUUAAAAUAAAUAAAACAUCUUUAAAGAGGCCCUUUGAUGCCGUGUUGCUC